CCCUUAGAUGUUCUGGGCCGCACGCGCGCUACACUGAUCAGUGCAACAAGCAUCCGUCCUUGGCCGACAGGCCCGGGCAAUCUUUGAACGCUGAUCGUGAUGGGGAUAGACUUUUGCAAUUUUUGGUCUUCAACGAGGAAUUCCCAGUAAACGCAAGUCAUCAACUUGCAUUGAUUACGUCCCUGCCCUUUGUACACACCGCCCGUCGCACCUACCGAUUGAAUGGUCCGGUGAAGCCUCCGGAUUGGCGUGCACCCUCGGGUGCUGCCGAGAAGUUGGCUAAACCUUACCAUUUAGAGGAAGGUGAAGUCGUAACA
rnacentral:rRNA from 1 species